ensembl:snRNA U1 U1 spliceosomal RNA
CUACUUACCUGGCAGGGGAGAUACCAUGAUCACGAAGGUGGUUUUCCCAAGGCAAAGCUUAUCCAUUGCACUCCAGAUAUGUUGACCCCUAUGAUUUCCCCAAAUGUGGGAAACUCGACUGCAUAAUUUGUGGUAGUGGGGGACUGUAUUCCCACUUUCCCCUG